AAACAGAUCCUAUUUUGGAAGAAAUAAAGAGGAUCUACUUUACGAAGAUGUAUGUACCCCCAUUAAAGCGUUUACAAGCAGUCAUCACCAGCAGCAGCAGUUAUUGAGAGCUCUCCAUGUGAGUCAAUCUGCAGAGCGUCACUCACCUCCUGCACACUGCAAUGCCGGAAGAACCCGGAGCAGGUAGAGGAAAUGUCUUCCUCCCCUACAAUAUGCUAUUGCUGAAAACUCUAUGGAGGCAAGAAAAUGAAAGAGAAUUGAACAGCAACAGCUUUGUUCACCAGCUGCACCUUAAAGAGUCUCCUAAAACUGUGGGUUGCGAUAGUAGGGCACCAAAGUAAGGAAAGGGAGGAAAGAAGAAAUAAAUAGGGCACUGUGCUAGGCCA
rnacentral:lncRNA from 1 species